rnacentral:tRNA from 1 species
GUUGUCUUAGCUUAGUGGUAGAGCACAUGACUUUAAACCAUGAGGUUGUGUGUGACACCCAGUAAAUU